rnacentral:rRNA from 1 species
UACGGAGGAGGCUAGCGUUGUUCGGAAUUUCUGGGCGUAAAGCGCACGUAGGCGGAUCAGAAAGUCAGAGGUGAAAUCCCAGGGCUCAACCUUGGAACUGCCUUUGAAACUCCUGAUCUUGAGGUCGAGAGAGGUGAGUGGAAUUCCGAGUGUAGAGGUGAAAUUCGUAGAUAUUCGGAGGAACACCAGUGGCGAAGGCGGCUCACUGGUCCGGUACUGACGCUGAGGUGCGAAAGCGUGGGGAGCAAACAGG